rnacentral:misc_RNA from 1 species
GAUGAAGAACGCAGCAAAAUGCGAUAAGUAAUGUGAAUUGCAGAAUUCAGUGAAUCAUCGAAUCUUUGAACGCACAUUGCGCCCGCCAGUAUUCUGGCGGGCAUGCCUGUUCGAGCGUCAUUUCAACCCUCAAGCACAGCUUGGUGUUGGGACUCGCGUUAAUUCGCGUUCCCCAAAUUGAUUGGCGGUCACGUCGAGCUUCCAUAGCGUAGUAGUAAAACCCUCGUUACUGGUAAUCGUCGCGGCCACGCCGUUAAACCCCAACUUCUGAAUGUUGACCUCGGAUCAGGUAUGAAUACCCGCUGAACUUAAGCAUAUCAAUAAGCGGAGGA